rnacentral:lncRNA from 1 species
UCCAUCUGGUAUGACUCCAUCGUGAAAAUCUAUGCGGACAGUAUGAGUCUUUUAUCCCUGUGGAAUAGUGUGUACUCUAGAAACUGUACAUAUUAAACAAAAUAUUACUUUCUACCACAGAUUUAAUCUUUAAGGAGGUUCGAUGGAAAUAUUGCAAAAAGUAUAAAUUAAUGUAUGGGUUUUAAGUAUGCAGCUGUGAAACGCAUCUUGUCUUUAAUAAAUAACAGCAGCUUCUCAGUGGUAAAUUGGUUGUUGAAAAGAUAUCCAAGAUGGAAUAAUCGUGUUCACAUUAUAUGUUACUUCUUUUCGGAUGCGUUGUAAUUAGCUUGUAUUAUCCCUCGGAUAUUUCGGGCAAUACUGCAGUACAUGUAUAACGUUCAUAAAAGAGAUGGACAUCAUGUAAUAGCUGACUAGCUUUCAGCAAGCAAGGUUCUGCCUUCAUAUGGAUAUUUCGUGCAUCUCUGUACAAAUGAAGGAGGAUAAAGAUUACUAAAGACAUCAUGGAAUAGCUGAUAAGCUGUAAAUCAACAAG